rnacentral:lncRNA from 1 species
CUUUUUAGGGCCACACCCACGGCAUAUGGAAGUUCCCAGGCUAGGGGUCCAAUUGGAUCUGUAGCCGCUGGCCACAGCCACAGCCACAGCAACGCGGGAUCCGAGCCACGUCUGUGACCCACACCACAGCUCACGGAAACACCGGAUCCUUAACCCACUGAGUGGGGCCAGGGAUCGAACCCACAACCUCAUGGUUCCUAGUCGGAUUCGUUAACCACUGAGCCAUGACAGGAACUCCUGUUUUCCAUUUUAAGACCCAUUUUAUGAUAAGAAAAAAGACAACAGGCACAUCUUUUCCAAUACUGUGCCCUGAGACUGUACCACAUGCCUGGCCAUGGGGGUCGCUGUCCCGUGGGCAUCGUCUCUUACGAAGGACAUCACGGCACACGUGUGAAGUCACUCUGCCAACACACAGCCGUCCAGGCAUGGAAACGGUUAAGUCGCCCUCAGCGAAUAAAUCAAAAGUUCAAGGCUGCAACAUACCACAAUGAUUCCUUCUUUACAUAUGACGAGAACCAGAGAGGGGCUGAAAUCCCAAGCAUCCUGAGCGAGGUCUCCCCGGCCCGCACAGGUUAUGCCGCCAGGGUCAGGGCCGCGGACCUUUAGCGGCAACAUUCAUUUCCUGAACAGGACAAGUCCUCCUGACCAUAAAGCUAAUAGGAACUUCCUCGCACGGCGAGCUCCGGCUGACAGGGCUACUUGUCACUGGCCACGCAGGAGGAGAGCGCUGGUUCCCAUUAGUGGGUUAUGAUGCCAGGUGCUACUAAUAAGGUACAUCGGCAAGAAACAAGAGCCUGCUAAGCUGUCUCUCCAACUCUGGAAGUCAUCAGGCCUGGGCUUCGGGCUUGGGGAGGGGCCUUCUUUAAGGGGAAGGGGGAGCUUUAGCCACUGUGGACCCCCCCAGCAGCAUCUAACCUGCCGAACGGCUGAAAUCAAUACAUUUCAGACCAUCGCUCUGCAUGUCCCCCAGCUGCCAUAAAAGACUCCCCCAAAUGGACGCUCAUAGCAUUUCCCCCAGCGCUCCAGGCCUGAUGGAUCACCCAGGGCCAUUACGGUCGGCCACAUCUGCUUCUCACUAUGGCAAGGAGGGUCGUGCCAACAGGCCUAAUGGCAUUAAGAUCACAACGCUCAGUUAAUCCACUUAGAGACUGAUGCCCGGUGAGGGUGGCAGGGGACUUGGGAGGCGAGAGGCUCCCUUGUGAGGUCACAAGCGAAGCGGGGAAACAGGGAGGCGGCCUCACAUGGAGUCCCUGCUGUGGGAUCGAGGUGACAGGGUACCUCACUGAGCCUGUCUGAAUCCCAUCGAGAGGGAAGGGCUAAGUUCGCUUCACAGAACAGGAGCCUGAUGGUCAGACAAGGGAAGCCACCUGCCCCAAUUCACAACGAGGGGCCAGCAGGCAAAGCCAAGUCUAUCUGAGAUCAGUCUGUGCCCUGGCCCUACACACCGACAGGCACAGGGUCUGGCGGUGCCUGUCUCAUUCUCAGCAUGCCUGUCUUAUAUGUUCGCUCUUAUCAUCUGGGGCAUCUAAAGGGCCCUAAAGAGGGGAGAACUGUAAACACCACUUUCAACUGGCCCACAGUGCAACCUCCCAUCAAGAUUUCUCCAACUCCAUCUUCUAGUAAUUUCGCCAGUCAUACCCCCACUGUCUAGGGAAGUUCUUUCUCUUAUCUGACUUGGAUUUUUCCUACUGCAAAGCUGAACACAGUCUGCUCUUGCUGAAGAAAAUCAGAUCUUAAGGACAGAGUCGAAAGUGAGGGAGGAAUUUAGAAUUCAGCAGGUUUUUGUGAGUUUUUACCCGAAGUUUCCGUGCUGACGAUCAAGGACCGGAUCCCCUCUUUGCAGCUGCAGCGUUAAGCCUCACGUAGGCAAAAACCCAACCAGAGUUUUUCCAGACUGAGCCAGCAUAAUAAGGACAUGGGGGCUUUUAAGGGGAAACAGUAGAAAGGGGAAAUUCUGAUUAUGCUGGCAUGAGAUUAACAGCAUGGAAUUUUUAUUUUUGUAAGUGGGUUUCUUUUUCUCUCCCUUUUUCUGUUUUUGGAGUCAGCAUAAAAGGCCUCUAUCCCUAGAAGCUGGUCUCUCUCUGUGUGAGAGAUGGUGGAGUGCUCUUGGACCCGCGUGGCCCUGGCCCGGAAAACACAAACCUUUCGCACAGUUAAGCAGCGCCCUCCCUCCCCCCUCCUCUCUGGUCAUCAGAGGAAGCUAGUGGCCAAGUGAUGAGCCUCCUGGUCACCGGCCACAGGGAACACGGAGCUGGUCCUUCCUGUAACUCCCCCUUCCCUUCCGACUCCAUUAGGGGCUGAAGAUCCAAGCAGGACGUUAUGGAAAGAAGCAUGAACGUGGAGCCAGAAGACCUAAGCACAAAUUCUGGUGCCACCCUUCACCGGCUCACCAGGGACAGGUCCAUUAGCCUCUCGGGUUCCCCUCUGCCCAUCAGGGAACGGGAAACAAAUAUCUACCCUACAGGGCGGCUAGAGGGGUUGGGAAGAUACAAACACACUUGGCACAGAACCUGAGGCGUGUCAAGCCCUCAAAGCGCUGUUUGCUGAAUCCACCCUUAGAAGCAUCCUGCACGGCGGAGAAGGAAUGGGAAGGGGCUCUGAAACAUGCUCCGUCCACAAGCCCAGGCUUCUCGGAAAGGAGGUGUUUGUGCUCCUAGGCUCUGCCGCCACUGCAGUGAUUUGCUGGCCUGACCACAUGCACAGGCAAGGGGACAGGGCAGUGGUGAGCUGCCUCGGCAUUUGGAAACGAUGCCAGUGGAGCGCUGCCCGGCUAAAUUUAAACGAGGACUGGGAUGACUCAUCAGGCUUCAGGUCAAUGGGACAAAGAGUACCCUGGCCACCGCGCUAGAAGAGAUCAGAUUGAGGGGGAAAUUUCGGUGGUCACUGUGUAUCAGCUCCAAAUACAGGACGCCAGAGGUGGCAGCUCUUAUUUAGGUGCCGUAUAAACAAUACCUUUGGGGGAAAGCAGGACCUGGACCAACACGAACAUAAUUUUUACCCUGCACUGCCAGCUUUACAACAAUGGCAGCAAAAAUACAACAGCAAACAUUUACUUUGGGUCACCUACUUCCUAGCCAGUGCUCAGUAUUUACUGAUUAAUCCCUGUAACAACCCAGUAAGUAAGUACUGUUAUUAUUCCCAUUUCACAAAUGAGCAAACAGGCGCAAUAAGGUAAUGUCCCCAAGAGUAAUGUCAGGUAAUGUUAAGUAAUGUAACCAGAGCCACACAGCUGGUAAGUGGUCAGGUUGGGAUUCUGACCCAGAGAGUCUGACUUGCUCAAAAUGUCUAUUUACUACGUGAAACACAUGGGGUCGAAGGUGAGGGAGUGGGGGUGCCAUGGUAAGUUUUCCUUUCCACCAAAGUCAAUGCCACUGAGUCAGAGCUUUCGCCUACCACCAGCAGAACAGAACUUGACCAAGAAAAGCUUUUGUUCUUGUGGAAAAUUCCAGAACCCUCCAAUGGGCGAAGUGAGGCAGGCCUGUAUUCAUUUAGCAAGACUCAUGUCUCACACACGGGCUUUCAGCUGGACUUGUUUUCAAGUCAUUCAUUUUUAAAACUUAAAAUAAUUGGAAAUGUUUUUCCCCAAAUUAGCAACAAAUCAGAGUUGUGAACGGAGUUUCGAUUUUAACUUGUAGGAUCAUCACAAUUUGAAAGAUUCAGAGUUGUCCCAGAACAAGCAGAAGGAAAAAAAGUGUUGCUGAAUGAAAGCGUUCUUGCCCUCUCCUUCCAGCAAUUAGCAACUCCAUCCAAUAGCGACAGCAAAUUAAAAUGGGACUUCUCACCAAGAUGAGAGAGCAGGCAACUUUCUUCCACUAGAAAGAAAACUAAAGAACUCAUCUUCAAAUUUCCAAGAGUUCAGCCUAGAUCCCAGAUGACUCAGUAACCCUAAGCAGGUUAAAGUACUAAAAAAAAAAAAAAAAAA